ACGCCUCUUACUUUUCAAUACCAUUCGCAUAGUCUAAAGAUAACAGGGAGGCAUAAUACUUAAUUCAAUCUGGUCAUUUUAUUUUUGCCUAACUCUCCCCCAAAUUGCCAAGAUUUUUGUUGUGGGGGAGAAAGAAACAUUGAUGUGGAUAUUACCCAUUAAAAAUGAAUCUUAAACAAGAAUGAAAAGGUUAAAAUUGCACACAUUCUGGAACUGCCCUUCUGGAAGGAGAAAGAACGCAUCUCUAGGAAGAUGCGUUCAGGGCUGUCUGGCACUGCUGCUGCUGCUUCUCUGCACCACAAUCGCCCCACGCCCAAAUGACUCUAGCGAGGGAUCCCGGGGAUUGAGCCUCUGCAAGGAAGGUGUAGGUAGAGCCUGCACCGAUCCUGAGGGAGCGGCUGCGGGAUUCGGAAGCUGGCUGUCCCUUCCUCGUGGGAGCCUUGGCCAUGAGGAAUUUGGCCUCUGGGAGGUGAUAUCCUCAGCUGUCAAAUGGGGACUAUCUAGUCCCCAACACUGUCCGACUGCCUGGGAUGCACCUGGUUGUCCUCACAGCAGUCCUGGGAGAAGGCACGAGUUACCCCUCCCUUUUACAGAGGACACAGAGGGCUCUUGGGGCGUGAAGUAACUUUCCUGAGGGGCAGUAAGUGGGAAGAUAAGGCUCAGAGCAGGGGCAGGCUUCAGAACCCAUGCUUACUGCUCUGGUUGUGUUGAGAGGAAGAGCACACUGCCAGGUCAUUUCCAGACUGACCGAGUCAGGACUGUGAGAGCCCUGGAGAACAGGACUGGCUGUGACUGACAGUGGGACACAACCCCGCUGAGCUCAGAUUCUGGGGAGGGCUCUGCACUGGGAGGAUGGGGCCCAGCUCGGGGUCAUGGAAGCCACAGUUGGGAUCCUCCCAGUGGAGACUGAUUUGGAGCACAGUGAUGGUCCCCAGGCUCUAUCCCAAUAGGGUGCUCACAGGACUUGAGAGAGGACUCCUGGUAGCCCACGAGCCGGGUGCCAGCAUCAUAGAAUCUUUUCUUCAGCCCUUCUCAACCUUUCUCUAAAUCACCCCAGGAUUGAAAAGGUCAGAGCUGAAGUAACUGGUGGCCUGGCCACACUGAGUCCACAGGGCCCCACACACGGGUGAAGGGUGUGUCUGUCUGUCUGUCAUAGGCUCUGCUAUGACGCCCUGUUACCUCUGACACUGGCACCUCUGUGUGGGGCCUCCCUCUGGCAUCUUUUAAUUUUAUUUUUUUAUUUUUUUGAGAUGGAGUCUCGUUUUGUUGUUCAGGCUGGAGUACAGUGGCACAAUCUUAGCUCACUGCAACUUCCACUUCCCAGGUUCAAGAGAUUCUCCUGCCUGUCUCCUGAGUAGCUGGGACUCCAGGCACACACCACCAUGCCCAGCUAGUUUUUGUAUUUUUUUUUUUUUGAUAGAGACAGGGUUUUGCCAUGUUGGCCAGGCUGGUCUCGAACUCCUGACAUCAAGUAAUCUGCCUGCCUCGGACUUCCAAAGUGCCGCGAUUACAGGUACGAGCCCCCCACGCCUGGCCAUCGGGCAUCUUUUAAGUGUUGACCUGCCUUCCCUCCUGCCCUGAGAGAGCCAGGAGAUUGGAGCCUUCCUGAGGAUGGGUGGAAAGGGGGCAGUGGGGAAGAGAAGGUGCAUGUUUGGGGUAGGAAGGCACAGCUGGCUAAACUGCAACUUCCCCCACCCCCGUGUCUGCUGGCCCUCUCUGAGUGGCUAGAAGAUCCUGGCAGGGGACGCUUGGCUGAAAUGUCCUCAUGUGCCAGAAAAAUUAAGUAACCCCAGCAUCUGACAUGCGUGCUACUAUGAUCUGAAUGUGUCCCACACCCCAAAUUUCAUAUGUUGAACCUCACCCCCAUUGUGAUGGUGUUAGGAAGUGGGGCCUUGGGGAGGUGAUGAGGCCCCGAGUGUACAGUUCCCAUGAAGAGGAUUAGAGGCCCCAGAGAGACCCCUUGCCUCUUUCACCAUGUGAAGACAAAGCAAAAAGACAGCCAUCUGUGAACUAGUAAGCAGACCUUCCCCAGACACCCAUCUGCUGGUGCCUUGAUCUUGGACUUCCCAGCCUCCAGAACUAUAAGCAAUAAAUUUCAGUUGUUUAUAUACUGCCACCUAGUUGGUGGCAUUUUACUACAGCAGCCAGAUUGGACUAAGACCAGUACUCAAAGGAACAACCCCAACUUUCUCAUCCUACACUGCUUUCCUUGGAAAAUAAUCAAAGGAAAGGAAAGGAUGAAAAGGGAACGCAUAGAAACAGGUGUUCUCCUCUUGAACGCAUUCAUUCAUUUGACAAAUAUAUGGGAGAACACUCGUGCAGUGUUUGCUCAAUAACUAUUUGCUGGAUGGCUGCUGAGCUGAUGGACGGAAGAGGACAGCCCUUCCCUACAAAGGGCUCAUGCUCCAGAGGGUGGGUCACCAGAUAUGCAAACACAUCCCAAAAGCAGGCUAAGUGCUCCCAUGCGAUGUGCGAGCACAAGGAAGAAAGGGAGGCUGUCUGGAAGAAGGUAUUGAGGAAAGCUUCACUGCGAAGGUGACAUUUAAUCUGGGCUUUGACGCAUAGGUAGGAGAUAGCCAGGAGUAAUGGGGCAGGAGGCAGUCCAAGCAUAGAAAAUGGCAGGAAUAAGGGCCUUUUCUGGGGACAGCCUGUCUAGUGUUGCUGAAGAGCACUGUUGGGUCAUGGGAGUCCCUUGGGAGAUGGAGACAGGGAUGGGGCCAGAGGCCAAACUGUGAAUGACUGCACAGCAGUGGAGGAGAGUGGGCCAUCUGGGCAGUGGAGGCCAGGGAAGGUUGGUAAUUGAUUAAUUGCUGCUUUAGAAUGAUCACUGGGGGUGGAGGGAGUGUGGCUGGGGAGGGGGGUGGAAGAAGGAUGACCAACUAGGAAACCGCUGAAGUAGCCUACAGAAUGAAGAGACAGAGGCUUGAAUUCGGGCAGAUGUUAAAGGAGCACAGGAAAACUGGAGGGAGGCUCUGCUCCCCACUCCUUGGACCGCUUUUGCAGCAAGUCCCAGUCUCACCUUCUGCAACGUCCCUAAAAUUUCCAAGUGGGACAAACUGGAUCAGGGUACCCAGUGUUAGUAGUGAACACAGCUGGGGGCGUGGGGUCGGGAGGAGUGGCGAUUAGACAUGGUCCUAUGCUGUAGGCACUUUGAGAAGUCCCCUAUCUGCACUACCUAGGAGAUAAUUGCAAAGGAAGCAAGACUCAUAGAAAUGUGGGGAAAUAACUGGUGCCAGCUUGGUGACAAAAUGACCCUGACCUGGCAAGGAGGGUGGGACCCCGUAGGGAGUUCGAGAGCUGCAGGCAAUGAUAGCAAAACUUCACAAAGGCAAGAGGGAGAAAAUGGGUAUUUCCAGGAUGAUCCGACAGGGCAUGGCAGGUGCAGGCUGGCCUUUGAAGGAGCAUGGAGCUGCAGGGACACAAAGAGGAUAGAUUUAUAGGGAACUGGACCAGCUGACAGAGCAGUUCAGGCUCGCGCUUGGAAGCCACUGCAGGCCUUGAACAGAUAAAUAGCCUGGUGGAAGCAGCAUUCAGAGACUGCUGCCUGGCAGCCAGACAGAAGGGGAAAGCAUUCUAGAAACUCAGCAGAGAGAUGGUGCAAUUCAGGUGUGAGAAUGCCCUGGUGAAUAUCCACACCUAGAACACCUUGACCUGCCAAAAGUCCAUGUUAUUAUUCAAAAGAGAAAUAGCUUAAAAGGGUGUGGCUGGAUCAGCACAAAAAUCCAUCACCAGCACUAAAAGCCAGAAACCCUGAGCAGGCUGGGCCUUCCGGACUGUAGCUGAGUGCAUGGGGCAGCAGCUGAAAGCUACCACCCAGGGUGAAAGUCAGAUGCUUCAUCUACGCUUACAGAAUUUAUUUAUUUAUGUAUUUCUUUACUUUAAAAACAGGGUCUUGCUCCAUCACCCAGGCUGGAGUGCAGUGACAUGAUCAUGGCUCACUGUAGCCUUGACCUCCUGGGCUCAAGUGAUCUUCCCGCCUCAGCCUUCUGAGUAGCUAAGACCACAGGUGUGUGCCACCACACUCAGCUAAUUUUUAAAACUUUUUUGUGAGACAGGAUCUCACUAUGUUGCCCGGGCUGGUCUCAAACUCCUGGCCUCAAGCGAUCCUCCUGCCUCGGCCUUCCAAAGUGCUGGGAUUACAGGCAUGAGCCACUGUGCCAGCCCAGAAUUUAUUUUUUUCAUCGAAACCUACCUUUGAGUUUGGAGAUCUGCAAGAGGGCUGGAA
rnacentral:lncRNA from 10 species